GACGAACGCUGGCGGCGCGCCUAACACAUGCAAGUCGAACGAGAGAGAGGGAGCUUGCUUCCUCGAUCGAGUGGCGAACGGGUGAGUAACGCGUGAGGAACCUGCCUCAAAGAGGGGGACAACAGUUGGAAACGACUGCUAAUACCGCAUAAGCCCACAACCCGGCAUCGGGAAGAGGGAAAAGGAGUAAUCCGCUUUGAGAUGGCCUCGCGUCCGAUUAGCUAGUUGGUGAGGUAACGGCCCACCAAGGCGACGAUCGGUAGCCGGACUGAGAGGUUGAACGGCCACAUUGGGACUGAGACACGGCCCAGACUCCUACGGGAGGCAGCAGUGGGGAAUAUUGCACAAUGGGGGAAACCCUGAUGCAGCGACGCCGCGUGUAGGAAGAAGGUCUUCGGAUUGUAAACUCCUGUUGUUGAGGAAGAUAAUGACGGUACUCAACAAGGAAGUGACGGCUAACUACGUGCCAGCAGCCGCGGUAAAACGUAGGUCACAAGCGUUGUCCGGAAUUACUGGGUGUAAAGGGAGCGCAGGCGGGCGAUCAAGUUGGAAGUGAAAUCCAUGGGCUCAACCCAUGAACUGCUUUCAAAACUGGUCGUCUUGAGUAGUGCAGAGGUAGGCGGAAUUCCCGGUGUAGCGGUGGAAUGCGUAGAUAUCGGGAGGAACACCAGUGGCGAAGGCGGCCUACUGGGCACCAACUGACGCUGAGGCUCGAAAGUGUGGGUAGCAAACAGGAUUAGAUACCCUGGUAGUCCACACCGUAAAAGAAUGAUUACUAGGUGUGGGGAGAUUUGACCCUCUCAGUGCCGCAGGUAACACAAUAAGUAAUCCACCUGGGGGGUGCGACCGCAAGGUUGAAACUCAAAGGAAUGGACGGGGGCCCGCACAAGCAGUGGAGUAUGUGGUUUAAUUUGACGCAACGCGAAGAACCUUACCAAGUCUUGACAUCCCUUGACGAUGCUGGAAACAGUAUUUCUCUUCGGAGCAAGGAGACAGGUGGUGCAUGGUUGUCGUCAGCUCGUGUCGUGAGAUGUUGGGUUAAGUCCCGCAACGAGCGCAACCCUUAUGGUCAGUUACUACGCAAGAGGACUCUGGCCAGACUGCCGUUGACAAAACGGAGGAAGGUGGGGAUGACGUCAAAUCAUCAUGCCCUUUAUGACUUGGGCUACACACGUACUACAAUGGCGUUAAACAAAGAGAAGCAAGACCGCGAGGUGGAGCAAAACUCAGAAACAACGUCCCAGUUCGGACUGCAGGCUGCAACUCGCCUGCACGAAGUCGGAAUUGCUAGUAAUCGUGGAUCAGCAUGCCACGGUGAAUACGUUCCCGGGCCUUGCACA
rnacentral:rRNA from 1 species